rnacentral:misc_RNA from 1 species
CGCACAUUGCGCCCCUUGGUAUUCCGAGGGGCAUGCCUGUCCGAGCGUCAUUACAGCCCUCAAGCGUAGCUUGGUAUUGGGCUUCGCCCCUAAAUGGGCGUGCCUAAAAAGUAGUGGCGGUCUGGCGUGACUUUGGACGUAGUAAAUUCCUCCCGUCUUGAAAGCCUUCACGCCGUGCCCGGCCAAAAAAGCCCCAAAGAACCUUAACGAUUGACCUCGGAUCAGGUAGGGAUACCCGCUGAACUUAA